rnacentral:rRNA from 1 species
ACGGGGAGCACCACAACGGGUGGAGCUUGCGGUUUAAUUGGAUUCAACGCCGGAAAUCUUACCGGGACCGACAGCAAUAUGAAGGCCAGGCUGAAGACUUUGCCGGAUUAGCUGAGAGGUGGUGCAUGGCCGUCGUCAGUUCGUACUGUGAAGCAUCCUGUUAAGUCAGGCAACGAGCGAGACCCACGCCCACAGUUGCCAGCGUACUCUCUGGAGUGACGGGUACACUGUGGGACCGCCGCUGCUAAAGCGGAGGAAGGAAUGGGCAACGGUAGGUCAGUAUGCCCCGAAUAUCCCGGGCUACACGCGAGCUACAAUGGUUGGUACAAUGGGUAUCUACCCGAAAGGGACGGGAAUCUCCUAAAACCAAUCUUAGUUCGGAUUGAGGGCUGCAACUCGCCCUCAUGAAGCUGGAAUCCGUAGUAAUCGCGUUUCAACAGAACGCGGUGAAUACGUCCCUGCUCCUU